UACGGGGGGGGCAAGCGUUGUUCGGAAUUACUGGGCGUAAAGCGCACGUAGGCGGGUCGUUAAGUCAGGGGUGAAAUCCCAGAGCUCAACUCUGGAACUGCCCUUGAUACUGGCGACCUAGAGUUCGGAAGAGGUUAGUGGAAUUCCCAGUGUAGAGGUGAAAUUCGUAGAUAUUGGGAAGAACACCAGUGGCGAAGGCGGCUAACUGGUCCGAUACUGACGCUGAGGUGCGAAAGCGUGGGGAGCAAACAGG
rnacentral:rRNA from 1 species